rnacentral:lncRNA from 1 species
UACACACCAAACCCCACAAAACCGGACUAUGGAGUUCCCAAACCUAAAACAACCUAUGAAUAUGCCCCUGCCCCCAAGAUUGAGAAACCAAAGUCCGAAGCAAUUUACACACCAAACCCAACAAAACCAAACUAUGAAGUUCCCAAACCCAAAACAAAUUAUGAGUAUGCCCCAGCUCCCAAGAUUGAGAAACCAAAGUCUGAAGUAGUUCACACACCAAACCCCACAAAACCUGACUAUGAAGUUCCCAAAUCCAAAACUGAUUAUGGGUAUGCCCCGACCCCCAAAAUCGAGAAAUCCAAGUCUGAAGCAGUCUACACACCAAACCCCACAAAAUCAGACUAUGAAGUUCCCAAAACCAAAACAGAUUAUGAGUAUGCCCCAGCCCCCAAGAUUGAGAAACCAAAGUCUGAAGUAGUUUACACACGAAACCCCACAAAACCUGACUAUGAAGUUCCCAAAUCCAAAACUGAUUAUGGGUAUGCCCCGACCCCCAAAAUCGAGAAAUCCAAGUCUGAAGCAGUCUACACACCAAACCCCACAAAAUCAGACUAU